ACUGAACGCGCAGAUCGAUUGAAAGCUCGACCGGCUGGAGAUCACGCCCUUUAAGGGCAAGGCCGGCGCCGCGUAGGUCGGCAAGCCAGUUUGCA
rnacentral:sRNA from 1 species